rnacentral:rRNA from 1 species
GACAGAGGUCCCGAGCGUUAGGCGGAAUCACUGGGCUUAAAGCGUGUGUAGGCGGAUUGGUAAGUACCUUGUGAAAUCCCACGGCUUAACCGUGGAACUGCUUGGUAUACUGCUUAUCUUGGGCCACUUAGGGGCUACCGGAACAAACGGUGGAGCGGUGAAAUGCGUAGAUAUCGGGAGGAAGGCCGGUGGCGAAGGCGGCGCUCUGGAACAUUUCUGACGCUGAGGCUCGAAAGCGUGGGGAGCAAACAGG